CAAGGGAAGGUUCUUUACCUGGAGGUCACUCUUUUUUGGAGUAUUUGGACACCUGUACCUGGAGAUCAUUGUGUUUCCUAUUGAAAAAGGAGGGGAAGCAGACAACAGGUCGUGUCUAUUCCUAGCUGAUGAAGGUUUCAAGAAAUUCCAGAAGUUAAACUCUUACCACUCUCAGCAAGACCUCAUUUAAGGGCUGGCUGUCACAAGGGAAGGAUCUCUGUCUGGAGAUUACUACUUUUGGAGUAUUUGGCAAGCCCUGAUCCUUGGGACAGGAUGUGAAUGAAAAUGCACGCUACUUCAUUCUUCUGUCAGGGACAGAAAGAAGAAGGCUUGGAGGAAAAACAGGCUCUAAAUGGGCUGUAAGAAUUUAGGUACUUCUCCAGGGGAAAGUGAAUGUACUUGAUGAACAGAGGGAAAGCUGAUGAUUUGCAUAGUGAUAAUGAGUGCAUCCUGAGCAAGUAAAUACUUGGCUUCUAUUGAGGGAUCAAAAUGUCAUGUGAGAUGGAAGAGUAGUUGGUUCAUGCUGCUCUUCAGGUAUCUCCUGUUUGGAAUGGCAUAAAAUAUUAGAUCAUACAUAUGAAUUAAGGUUAUCCACGUGGC
ensembl:lncRNA